rnacentral:rRNA from 1 species
GCUUGUCUCAAAGAUUAAGCCAUGCAUGUCUAAGUAUAAGCCUUUAUAUGGUGAGACUGCGAAUGGCUCAUUAAAUCAGAAACUGUUUAUUUGAUAGUGCCUACUACAUGGAUACCUGUAGUAAUUCUAGAGCUAAUACAUGACUAAAAGGGCUAGCCCUGCAUUUAUUAGAUACAACCAACCCUUCGGGUUUUGGCGAAUCAUAAUAACUGAGCGGACCGUAUUCGUACGGCGUUUCUUAUUAAUUUCUGCCCUAUCAGCUUUCGAUGGUAGGGUAUUGGCCUACCAUGGCGUUAACGGGUAACGGAGAAUUAGGGUUCGAUUCCGGAGAGGGAGCCUGAGAGAUGGCUACCACAUCCAAGGAAGGCAGCAGG